rnacentral:rRNA from 1 species
GAUGAACGCUGGCGGCGUGCCUAAUACAUGCAAGUCGAGCGAACCACUUCGGUGGUGAGCGGCGAACGGGUGAGUAACACGUAGGUGAUCUGCCCAUCAGACGGGGACAACGAUUGGAAACGAUCGCUAAUACCGGAUAGGACGAAAGUUUAAAGGUGCUUCUGGCACCGCUGAUGGAUGAGCCUGCGGCGCAUUAGCUAGUUGGUAGGGUAAAGGCCUACCAAGGCGACGAUGCGUAGCCGACCUGAGAGGGUGAACGGCCACACUGGGACUGAGACACGGCCCAGACUCCUACGGGAGGCAGCAGUAGGGAAUCUUCGGCAAUGGGCGAAAGCCUGACCGAGCAACGCCGCGUGAAUGAUGAAGGCCUUCGGGUUGUAAAAUUCUGUUAUAAGGGAAGAACGACUUUAGUAGGAAAUGGCUAAAGUGUGACGGUGCCUUAUGAGAAAGCCACGGCUAACUACGUGCCAGCCGCCGCGGUAACAC